AUUGCGUUGUGGCUUUUCAGCUUUGGAGUGGUUUUUACUAAACUUGGUUGGUCGUUUGGAUCCACUAUCUGCCGCACUCACAAGAGGGGUUGAUUGCACUCACCUCACACCAACGUUUGAUCUUCCGGACAAUUGGCAGUUUUCUUUGUUUGAUCAGCAACAGCUACACUCUUUGCAAAUAAAGCGUGCGAUUUAGUCACCGAUGUUAUUAUUAAGUCUUAUUGUACUCCUUUUUCUUUAUUUAUGUAACGCUGGAAAUUAAGUUGAAAUGUUUCGUGUAAUAAAAACGAGUUUUUUUUCCUUUUU